rnacentral:rRNA from 1 species
AGCGUUCGCUGCGUAGAGACCUGCGGAGGAUCAUUC